ACGAACGCUGGCGGCGUGCCUAAUACAUGCAAGUAGAACGCUGAAGGAGGAGCUUGCUCUUCUGGAUGAGUUGCGAACGGGUGAGUAACGCGUAGGUAACCUGCCUGGUAGCGGGGGAUAACUAUUGGAAACGAUAGCUAAUACCGCAUAACAGUAGAUGUUGCAUGACAUUUACUUAAAAGGUGCAAUUGCAUCACUACCAGAUGGACCUGCGUUGUAUUAGCUAGUUGGUGGGGUAACGGCUCACCAAGGCGACGAUACAUAGCCGACCUGAGAGGGUGAUCGGCCACACUGGGACUGAGACACGGCCCAGACUCCUACGGGAGGCAGCAGUAGGGAAUCUUCGGCAAUGGACGGAAGUCUGACCGAGCAACGCCGCGUGAGUGAAGAAGGUUUUCGGAUCGUAAAGCUCUGUUGUAAGAGAAGAACGAGUGUGAGAGUGGAAAGUUCACACUGUGACGGUAUCUGACCAGAAAGGGACGGCUAACUACGUG
rnacentral:rRNA from 1 species